rnacentral:rRNA from 1 species
GGCUCAGAUUGAACGCUAGCGGGAUGCCUUACACAUGCAAGUCGAACGGCAGCACGGACUUCGGUCUGGUGGCGAGUGGCGAACGGGUGAGUAAUGUAUCGGAACGUGCCUAGUAGCGGGGGAUAACUACGCGAAAGCGUAGCUAAUACCGCAUACGCCCUACGGGGGAAAGCAGGGGAUCGUAAGACCUUGCACUAUUAGAGCGGCCGAUAUCGGAUUAGCUAGUUGGUGGGGUAAUGGCUCACCAAGGCGACGAUCCGUAGCUGGUUUGAGAGGACGACCAGCCACACUGGGACUGAGACACGGCCCAGACUCCUACGGGAGGCAGCAGUGGGGAAUUUUGGACAAUGGGGGAAACCCUGAUCCAGCCAUCCCGCGUGUGCGAUGAAGGCCUUCGGGUUGUAAAGCACUUUUGGCAGGAAAGAAACGCCGCGGGUUAAUACCCUGCGGAACUGACGGUACCUGCAGAAUAAGCACCGGCUAACUACGUGCCAGCAGCCGCGGUAAUACGUAGGGUGCAAGCGUUAAUCGGAAUUACUGGGCGUAAAGCGUGCGCAGGCGGUUCGGAAAGAAAGAUGUGAAAUCCCAGAGCUUAACUUUGGAACUGCAUUUUUAACUACCGAGCUAGAGUGUGUCAGAGGGAGGUGGAAUUCCGCGUGUAGCAGUGAAAUGCGUAGAUAUGCGGAGGAACACCGAUGGCGAAGGCAGCCUCCUGGGAUAACACUACG